UGUUUUUAUUGUAGUUUAAAGGCCAGAGUGUACCCAUGUGUACAUAGAAUGGCUGUUGAUAGCUUGUCUAUUUUUAAAAAAAUUAUAAGGUUACUAUAGAAGUCUAUAGGAAAACAUUUGAUGGUGUGUAACCUGUACGAUUCGAUCACUUUACAGUAAU